UUGAGGCCAUAUCACGUUGAAACACCCGUUCUCGUACGAUCACAAAAGUUAAACAACAUCGAGCCUGGUCAAUACUUAGAUGGGUGACCACUUAGGAAUAACAGGUACUGUAAG
rnacentral:rRNA from 1 species